AGUCAGAAGUAGCUGAUUAUA
rnacentral:snRNA from 1 species